rnacentral:rRNA from 1 species
AGUGAACGCUGGCGGUGGGCCUAACACAUGCAAGUCGAACGGCAGCACAGGAGAGCUUGCUCUCUGGGUGGCGAGUGGCGGACGGGUGAGGAAUACAUCGGAAUCUACUCUGUCGUGGGGGAUAACGUAGGGAAACUUACGCUAAUACCGCAUACGACCUACGGGUGAAAGCAGGGGACCUUCGGGCCUUGCGCGAUUGAAUGAGCCGAUGUCGGAUUAGCUAGUUGGCGGGGUAAAGGCCCACCAAGGCGACGAUCCGUAGCUGGUCUGAGAAGGUGAUCAGCCACACUGGAACUGAGACACGGUCCAGACUCCUACGGGAGGCAGCAGUGGGAAAUAUUGGACAAUGGGCGCAAGCCUGAUCCAGCCAUACCGCGUGGGUGAAGAAGGCCUUCGGGUUGUAAAGCCCUUUUGUUGGGAAAGAAAUCCAGCUGGCUAAUACCCGGUUGGGAUGACGGUACCCAAAGAAUAAGCACCGGCUAACUUCGUGCCAGCCGCCGCAGUAA